GGAUUUAAAAUGCAACAUAAUUUAUAUAUUCUAUCCUUCUUUCAGCAACAAAAGAAAUUGAACUUCCAUUAAUUCAUAUUUUAUUGCAAUCAAUUUUUUGGAUUUAAUUAAUUAGAAAGAGUAGACCGUUUAAGAGAUCCACCAGUUUUCAUAAUAUUUAUUAAAUAAAGAUUUUCGCAUUAAUUUGAUUCAAAACACAGUCACCAAUGUAACUUAUUCAGAUGCAGACCUAUUUUUAUCAACUUGAGUCACCAGAUCAUAAAUCUAGUCAAACAAUUACCAUUGAAAAACCAGAUAUACGCUUUACCGUAAGUGUAUAAAAACAAAACUCCUUCUAUUUUAACGACAUCCUCAGUCAUAUUUUUCUGGUUCCUUGUGACAUUGUGCAGUAUUCGAACGGCGGCAUGAAAGAUGCAACUUUUACAUUAAUUUUAUUGUGUUUAGUGCUAAUUAUUAAGCAUUUUAAUGAGGUCGCAUGUACACAACUGGAAGAAACUGGUAGCUUGAAGCAAGAAAAUCACACAGUAGUUCAAAUUACAUCAACUACUCAUGGUUCCUUUAAAGUUUCGUCGCUGACAGAUACGCAAAUUAAUAGCUGCCCAGAACCAAAUCAACUACGGGACAUCAAUGGAAACUGUCGAGAUGUUGCUAACUAGUUGCAUGGGUUCGCAUAUGAGAAUGGUGUGUAAAACUACAGGAAUAUUAUCAAAGCAGAAUAGAAUAAAACGACGUUUCUUCGCAUCGAAUCGCCUGCUCUUAAAGCGGCGUUAAUUUAACCAAUUGCAGCCCUAAUUCUAUUCCAAGUCCUGCGUAAGCACGCAGUUCACUUUAGGAAAACAUUUAAAAUAAAGACAAAGCAGACCUA